UGCACACCGUACGUUCCGAGGCUCUCAUAAAUACCGGCUCCGGACCAAGCAAAGUCACUCUUCUUCAAGGACUGUUUUGUGAGACUACUAGAUCCAGCGUCUUCGAGGACCUACACCUGAGCAACAUCAUGCCUUCUCCUUGCUGCGAUACAUGCAAAGACACCUGCGCUAAAGGUGGGAACUGCGGAAAUGACUGCAAGUGCGGGACGGAAUGUCGGUGCUGUUGUGGAGCGACCACUACUGAUACCGCAGAGAAGUGUCAGUGUAAAUCAGCCGGGAAGUGCACGUGCCCCGAGGGCUCCUGCGACUGCAGCUGAGCUAACAGUUCCCUACGGCACAGGUUUAACCUGUAUUUGUGCUUAAUAUUUUUAUUUUCAUAAUCAAUUAUGUUACGUCUCCACUAAAAUUUAAUUAUAAAUCCACAAUUAUGCUGCGGUAAUGAGAGCGAAGCGUUCAGAUCUGAAGUGCAAAUGAGUGUGAGAUUAUGCGAAUUAUCAUGUAAGGCAUCAUUCCAGUAAUUAAAUAAAUAU